rnacentral:rRNA from 1 species
GACGUAGGGGGCCAGCGUUGCUCGGAAUUACUGGGUGUAAAGGGUUCGUAGGCGGUGUGGCAAGUCGGGAGUGAAAUCUCUGGGCUCAACCCAGAGUCUGCUUCCGAAACUGCUGUGCUUGAGUGUGGGAGAGGCGCGUGGAAUUGCAGGUGUAGCGGUGAAAUGCGUAGAUAUCGUAAGGAAGACCAGUGGCGAAGGCGAGUUCCUGGACAGUUGCUGACGCUGAGGCACGAAGGCCAGGGGAGCAAACGGG